UAGCUGCUAUCGAGCUCCAGCUACAAAUGGAUAAGACUUUGGUCUGAUUGUAUAGGAGUUUUUGAACUAAAAAAGGAGCAAUAGCUUCCCUCUUGUUUUAUCAAGAGGGCGUUAUUGCUCCUUUUUUUAUUUAGUAGUAUUUACCUUACACAGUUUCUUUAAAAAAAAGAAGGGGCUUUUCUAGUUUGGUUCGAUUAGCGUGUUUUAUCUUUGUAUUAAUUUCUAUUAUAGGUUUAUAUAUCCUUUUCCCAAUCGUUUAUGAAGUUUUAUUUCCAAUUCAAUUUCAAUCUAAAAUAGAUAAAAAUUAUAAUUUUUAUUAUUUAGUGCUUUUAUUUUAGAAAUAAUAAAGAAAUAAUAUGCUCUUUUUUUAUGUUAAUGGAAAAAUAAAAUAUAGUAACAGUAGAUAAUACUAGAUAAUAGGGGCGGAUGUAGCCAAGUGGAUCAAGGCAGUGGAUUUGUGAAU
rnacentral:misc_RNA from 1 species